GAACAUUUCCUUUAUCUCCAUUCCACGCCUCAAAAAUACUGAAUUGAUUUUCUGUGAUUUCCCUUUUCUGCCCUCCAUUGAAAGCCUUGAUUAUGUCCCAGUUUUCUGCAAAGAGAAAAUUUUUGCUGCUGAGUUAUAAAUUCUGCAGGUUCUAACUAGGUUUCAAUCGUGAGACUUUUAUUCCUCCAUUAAUACGGGCGUGUCACUCCCAUCAGGGGAACGCUUUUCUUAGAGGAAACAACAUUCUGCUUCCAUAGCGGCAAAACGAAAAAGAGGGAUGCGAUGUGUGAUAGAAGCCUGUACCCUGACGGGAGAGGAAAAAAAAGAACGAUGCUAAGUAGAUGUCACUUAUUGGCUGUUCUUGUGGAUAGGGAAUGUUGAAUUUCAAGUUUUCUAUUUUAAGCAGAGAAAGCAGACUUGUGCCUGACUGAUCCCUAUCGUGAUUGUUACCAUUCAAAUUCAAUAAGAGAAUGCAUGUGGAAGGGGCUGUGUAAAUGUAUGGGGCACCACACGUGGAAGAUAUUAAGGUUUCAGCCUUUAUUAAUAGAAGAUCUGCAUAUGUGCUAUGGUAGAUGGUCCCCCAGGACUCCACAGCCUAAUCAGAUGGUGGAAGGCAGAAGUACAUGGUGGUUUAAAACACAAACUAUGCAGAUUCUUGGGUUAAAUCUGACAGUGCUGCCCUGUCUAGCUGUACAAUGCUUUGGUCAGUUACUUAACUUUCCAAGUUCCAGAUUCCUCCUGUUUAAAAUGGGGAUAAUGCUAUUGCCCUCAUUGUGUUUGGAGAAUGGCACAGGAUAAUACACUCAUUAAUUGUCACUUUUUUUUUUUUUUUUUUUUUUUAUGCAGUACGUGGGCCUCUCACUGUUGUGGCCUCUCCCGUUGCGGAGCACAGGCUCCGGACGCACGGGCUCAGCGGCCAUGGCUCACGGGCCCAGCCGCUCCGCGGCAUGUGGGAUCUUCCCGGACCGGGGCACGAACCCACGUCCCCUGCAUCUGCAGGCGGACUCUCAACCACUGCGCCACCAGGGAAGCCCAAUUGUCACUUGUUUUGAAGAGGAUGAUAAUCAUGUUGACUCCUAAAAAAGACAAAAGAGAGAGAGGCUGGUCAAUAACAAGAGCAUAUUUACUUAUCGAAUUUUCUUAUGUAAGUUAGCAUCCAUUUCAUGGAUUGGAAGGAUAAAAGCAAAAUCAGACUAAAAGAAAUCCUAGACAGAUUUGGCCAGGCAAUGACACAGACAGCUGGUAGAUAUGGCUCCCUGCAGGAGUUGGGACUUGAAUGGUGGGAUGGUAGAAGGAAGCCACAAGUGAAUCCAGUAAUUUUUCCAUGAGACUCAUUGUAAUUUAAGAUCUGGUCCAGGUCUCAGUAAGCACCUGCUCAUCAGAGAGGGAGUGAGAUUUCCACAGAACACAACUGGAAGCAGAAGUGGGCUUAUAGGGGAAGACAGGGCUCUGUAUAGGCAGAGAGAAAGAGAGACAGACAGCUCUCAGAAUAGUCUUGUAAGAUCAGUUGUGGAUAUAGAGAGGGACUGGACCACCCUUGGCUUUGUCCUAUAAGCCAAUCCUUCAUGUUCCAGUCACUCCCAUAGUACAUCCUAUGGGAGGGACCAUUCAUAGUUAUUAGAGGUCAGAAAACAAAGUUUCCAGGUUGUUUAUUCUGGAAUUAGUCUUAUCCUUUCAAUAUAUUCUACAAGUUUCCCACCAGCCUUCUGAAGAAUAUCACUCCUCUGUGGAAUAGAAUGCUCUUCUCUGAACUAAAAGUAAGAUGUUUGUUUUGGAAGCAACAUAGAUUCAAAUAGCAAUAACAAUUCUUUGCGGAAAAGAAAAGCAUCUUUAUAUUUAUUCGGGUAAACAGAAAAAUAGCACAAUUGAAAUGAUUUUCCACCUGCCAAACAAAACGGUUUCCUUUUGUAAGCCGUGUUCCAUAUACAAGGGGGGUGGAAGCACAACACUGCACAGGGGGAAUGGUGAUGGAUUCAGCUAUCGAGGCCGCCGUGCCUGUCGAUGGGGGUUCACCUGGAUCUAUUAUAUCUCACCUCAGUCGAAGACAGUCAUCCUGCAUGUACCGGACCGAAGGUUCUGCUCUUUUGCAAAAGAGAUCUGGCUAAGCUGACCCACCAGUGUCCCCCAGGAUCACGGAGGCAGAACUCGGAAGGACAUGAAGGUUGCCUUUGACACCCUCACGGUUGUACUAUUUUCACUCUUCUGAAUUCUUAUGGCUUCUCUUCUCAGACCUACCCAGGGGCUCUGGCUCUCUCGUGGCUCCCUGAACCCUCUGCUGUGACAGUAAGCUUAGGUCCACCUUAAUUAAAAAAAAAAAAGUAGCAAUAAUGACAAUCACAGCGACUGACAUUGGCUCUUUCUCAUGUGCCUGAUGUUAUGCUAAGAAUCACAUUCACAUUAUCCUCCAUGACUUUCCUCAGCAGCUGUAUGAAGCGGCUCUGUGUGUGACAGACACCGUUGGUGCCCAUCUCCAUCUCCUUGCUCCACCCCAGGAAGCCUCCUGCGGGCAGUCUGGUCUCCUGCGUGAUGGCGGUGUCUCUCUGCCUGACAUGUGCUCUGGCCUCAUGGGAAGAUCCUCAGCCUAGUUGGGGGCUAAACGGGAAGUACCCAUGAAUCCUUGGCCCAGGAACAACCCUCAACCCUGGAAGAAUGGGAAUUCCUGUAUAAAUCCCCCCAGCUUCUUUUCCCUUUGCUGCGACAAUUCUGAAGCAAGUUCCCACAGUGUCCCAAAGGGUCCUCACAGGGGUUGAAAGAAGUGACCACAGUGGGAACCGCUCACUGAAGCCACUUGGACUGAUUUUCCCCCCCUCCCAUCUCACUUCUCCAGUGGUCCCAGGGAUUACCACUCAAACUUGCUCCCCAUUCUUGACUCAAGAUUUGCCCUUGGGGGAAUCCAAACUGAGAUCACACAUGAUUGUUCUUAUGUAACACAGGAGAAGUGGAGGCUUAGUGAGGCUGAACUGCCUGCUGUUGUAUAGCUGGUGGAUGGCCAGGCAAGACUCGAGCCAGGAUUAUUAUUAUUCUCUCCCUGCCUUAUUCUGCUUCCAUCAGAAAUAGUCUGGACCAAUUUUUCUAGUUAAAUAAUUGAAUUAAUUAAUAUAUAGCUUCUUUGCAAAAAGGACUUGAGUUUGCAGAGCAUAACUGAUAACUCCUUCCUUCCAUCAAAACGUAUUUUGCCUGGCUCCUAGCUCUAUUGAGAGUCAGGAUUCAGCUAAUAAUAUAAUUAAAGAUAAAUUUCAUAAAUUAAUUACUGUUGCAAUGCUAUUGUCUGAGAGUGGCUAAACAUACUGUAGUAUGCCUCUAGAGAUAUUGACACUUUACACGGGGGUUUUGAGAUUGCAAUGCAAUAACAUAGAGAAAGGACUCUGUGUGGAAUUUUCAACAUCUACUGGUCAAGGAGACCUUUUCUCCACGUCCUGAGAUGGGGCAUUUCCUGAACCUCUUAUUUCAUACCUCUAUCCAUCUGCUCACUCUGCUCACUGACACCGAUACUCUAUCUAAUCAUCAAGAUUCCUCCUGAACUGGAAGGCAGAUUUUAGUCCUUCCUGUGUGUUAGCCUGGUUCCUUCUGAGGGACAAAAACGUGCAGCCUUCCCUCUUUAACUCCCUGUCUCACCAGGGGACACAGCAGACCUGUUUACCUGCCUUGGUUUCCCAGCCUGUAAAAGAAAGACAACACCUGUUCCAGCUUGCUUUUCAGAGGUGAUGUGAAGAUAAAUGUGAGGAGGUCCACCAAGUCCUCAAAUUCUUGGGAUGAAAGAGGCCAUGUAAAUAGAACACAGUCUUAUUAUGAUUAAACUUUAAUGCAGCUGCUCUCAGGCCUAUAAAGGGAGCACAGUCUGGCUGGAAGGUAGGACUGCAGGGCUGUCCCCUCUCAUCAUUGCCCCCGUGAAUUCACCGUCCGGCAGCUCCAUCUUAGAAGUGCCCAUCCUUUCUGCUCAUUCAAUUUGGUUAUUAUUUUCAAGAGGUCAGUUAUGCAGUUAUGUUUUUGCCCUUCACAUUCUUCAGAUUUGGAUUCAGCUUUUAGAAAACACAUAUGUACAAGCUUACACGUAUCGUCUAAUAGAUGACCCAACCCCUGGAGGGCCUGGGGGCUAGAUCAUAACUAGACAAUUAGAUAUAAAUUCUACUCUGAAAACAAUAUUUUUGACCCUCUGCGUGUUUGUCUGUGACCUGAUACACACUCAAGCAUCAGUGGUUUUCAAAACAACAAACUAUACAGUUUUCCUUAUUGUGACAGAAUAAGAACUGCUGGAUUUCUCAGCAAAAGCAAAACAAAACAACCAUAGAAAACCACCAUCUUUUCCUUCCCAAAUUAAUUCUUUCAGUUUAUGCUCCUAACUCCAUAAAAAUGUGGUUUAGCUUUUGAAGUUUUUAUUAAUAUUUAUAAUGCCCAUUUGGUGCCCUUGAACCUCACAGAAACAGAGCCCUGAAAUGAAUACCCAGCUUCUUGGUGGUAGGCUACCCAAGCCCAACCAUAAACUUUAACAUUUACGCAUAUAUAUUUGGCUUUGCUUUGUUUUUCCUGUCUCUUGAUGUAGAAGAUUUAAAAAAAAACCCACUUUUUAAAAUGCAAAUUUUAAUGGCUUAUAUUUUAAUUUCAAGGGUAAUACAUGCUUAUAAAAAAUACAGAUGUGCAUAUAGAAAUAAAGGAAAAGUCUCUCUUUCCUGAUCCAUUUCUAAAAUCUCUGUGCCAAGAAGUAAACCAUAUACUUUAAAUCCUUUCAAAUUAGAGUUCUGUUGGUUUGAGAAAUUGAAAUUGUCUGAAGAAGCUAGUAAAGAGUCAUAUUUCUCUCUUUUAUCUCUGAAUAGGAAUGUAAUAAGAAACUGUAGAAAGUUUUGAAAAUACAGUGAACUAUAAGAAAUUAAAAUUGCCUGUAAAUUCACUACCCCUCAAAUAACCAAUUUUUAACAUUUUAUUGUAUUUCUUACAGAAUUUUCCUGUGCAAAUAUGAAUAAAUAACAGGACUCUGCUUCACCUUACCCCCUCAGCACUGUAUUAUGACAAUUUUCCAAUACCCCCAAAACAUACUUUUGAAUGGCAGUAAAAUAUUCCAUUGCAAUUUCUUCAUUUAAAAUCAUUUCCAAAUAGUAAGGGGGGGGGGUGGGAUGCGGAAUGCUUCUCCCUCUCACCUCAUGUUUCUAUGAUUGGAGGUGAGGAGGGCUUCCCCUCCGCUGACCAGGAAGGAGAUGUGUAUGCAGAACACUGACUUGGGAUCCUCUCUGGAUCCCAAGGUGGAACGAGUUCUUUGGCUGGUGACGUGGGAGAAGGUAACAACUCAGUUAUUCCCACCACGACCCUAUGAAGUCCCCAGACUUCUCGGUUCAGCCCCUUCAUCUCCUUGGAGCAGCUGGUCUCCAGGAUGCAGCCAGCUUCUCUGUUUCUCUUAUUCUCCAAAUAAGACUCACUUCUUUGGGCCACAGGCUGAGCUGCUUCUCUAAUCCGGUUUAAUCAACAAUUAGGAUUAUGUAUAGAUGCUCAUCAGUUAGAUUCCUGUGUUUACCUCUCACCCAGUUCCUGACACAGACGGAGAGCGAUAAGUGAGUCAAGAGUGAAAGUGUAACUUAUUAUACCCCAUACUGCAACUAAUACUCCUAUAGUUAACAUUUAUUUAGUAUUUACUCCCUUGCCAAGCUGUGAUUUCUCAUAACUCUCCCAACAACACUGUGAGGUUUGGUGUUAUUAUUCUCAUUUUAGGGAUGAUAAAACUGAGGCAUGGUGACAUCCCUAGCAAGAGCUGGAACUGGGAUUUGCUCCCGUGCUCCUAAUCACUUCUCUCUAUCUCCUUUCAUCUAUUCUAUAUCAUAAAUAACACAUGAACUUUUUUUGAACAUAAAUUCCAGCUUGAACUUGUAAACUACCCAAUGCUGUCUCCCACUAUUGAAUACAUCUAUCAUUACUUUUGCAAUAUUUUAUUGUCAUUAUAGAAUGCCUUUUAAUGCUGCUUAUAGUGACAUUUUUUUGCUAUAAAGAUUUCUAUUUCUCUUCAGUUAAUCUAUUCUUAUUUUCCUUCAUGACUUAUUCCAUCUUGACUUUUGUGCUUUUGUCCUUGCCCUCCCCAAUAGAUUUCACCAAUCUUUUACUCUAGCUUCCUAUGGUUUUAUUUUAGAAAUAUAACUUUUACCAUCCAGAAAUUAUUUUAUAUAAGAGAGACUAAGUUUUGUUUGUUUGUUUUUUUAAGAAAAAAAUUAUUUGGCUCAGUACCAUCCUUUCUCCACUGAUUUAUGAUGUGUAUACCUUUUUCUGAUCUCUGUUUUUCCCCACUGCACUAUAUGCUGAUUUUUCUUUAAUUUCACUGUUUUUGUUUGCUUGUUGAGUUUUUACUGUAGCUUUAUGAUAUGUUUUAAUAUUUAGAAGGAUAAGUCCCUUCUCAUUACUCUUAUUUUUAGAAACUUGUUUGUUAUCAUCAUGUGAUAUUCUUCCAUAUACAUUUAAAAAUAUUUUAUCAAGUCUGAUCCCUAAAUUCUUACUGGGAAUUUAAUUGAAUAUAGUUAUAUUUGCAGCUCAACUUGGAAAUAUUUAAUAACUUUCAAAAUUCCUUUUUCCACCUAGGAUCAAUGUGAUUUAUUUUUUUAAAAUACUUUCUUUUGAAAGCCUCAGAAGUGCUGAAUUUAUCUUUGUAUAGGUGGCAUUCUUUCUUGUCCAGUUUAUUUCUAUUUUUUAAAAAUUUUUGAGGCUAGCAGGAAUGGAAUCUUAUGUAACUAGUUAUUAUGGUUUAACAUUGUUUAAAAUAACUCAUUAUUGCUGGCACUGGACAUUUUUUUAAAUGUUUAUUUUGUUGUGGCUUCUUUAUUGAACUCAUUAUUUUUAAAGUUUUUCCUUAGUUCUUCUUGCUUUGUCUAUGUAUAACUGUGUCACUUAAAAUAAUGAUGAUUUUUGAUACUUACACUUCUUACAUAUGUUUCAUUUUCAUUUCAUUGACUGGAACUUCCAGAAUAAUGUUAGAUAAUAGCAGUUAUAAUGGCCGUCCUUAUUUUGUUUCCAAUUUUAAGAGAAUGCCUAUAGGGUUUCACUGUAAGUAUGUUGCGUGUUGCUUUAGGAUAACAUUUAAUAUAUUUACGUCGAUUUUAACAGAUAGAUUUCAAUUAGACAUUUAAAGAAAUAAUAUUUCUAUUUAUAAAAAAAUUUUUCUUUUUAACCACAAAGACUAGAUGUUGAAUUGUAUUAUAUUGUUGUGUUUUUGCCUUAUUUGUAUUUUUAAAUAUUAAAUAUUGCAUUUUUAGAAUAAUAUUAAAUAUUAUUUAAUAUUUAUAAAUAUUAUUUAAUAUUAUUUAAAUUUAGAAUAAUAUUAAAUAUUGCAUUUUUAGAAUAAUACCUACUGAUGAUGUGUUGGGUGGCAAGUCUUCAUGGGUCUCACACAUUUCUGUGUAUCUUGUAAGCAGAGGCACUGACUGCUCUUUGUUUCAGAAUAUCUUUUCAUGGAUGGAGAUAGUCUUUCCCUCCAGAGCAAAGGGCAGGUUUGCUUAUAGCCUUGAAGAUAUAGUGUCUCCCUCUGGAGCAAACAGCAAGCAUGCUUACUGUCCACUAUAAUAAAGAUAAUGUCUCCCUCUGGGGCAAUGGGAGGAUGCUUAUUGCCCACUUUUAAAGACUCAAGUUUCCUAAGCUCAGGGUUCCUCUCCUGUAAAGCAACCCACUGAAUGUGCAGGCAUCUACCUGGGCCUAUGUUGCAUCAUCCCCCUGAGAAUGGGGGGCACUGACAUACAUACUGAUGCUCAGGCUGCUUCCUGUGCUAUAAGUAAUAAAAUCUUUUGUCUCUGACCCCAAAGUCUCAUUUCUUCUGCCACAUGAAACCAUGGCAGGCUAACUUGUCUGCUGUAAGUAGGGUAAAAGCUCACAGUCUUCAUUAUUUAAUUAUGAGAUCCCAAUUUCAAGAAAUUUACUUAUGAAUUUAUAUCUAUACUCAGAAGUAGUAUUGGUUUGUAAUUUUUUCCCCACGUUAUCUCUUUUUUUUUGCGGUACACGGGCCUGUCACUGUUGUGGCCUCUCCCGCUGCGGAGCACAGGCUCCGGACGGGCAGGCUCAGCAGCCAUGGCUCACAGGCCCAGCCGCUCUGCGGCAUGUGGAAUCCUCCCGGACCGGGGCACGAACCCGUGUCCCCUGCAUCGGCAGGUGGACUCUUAACCACUGUGCCACCAGGGAAGCUCCCCAUGUUAUCUUUAUUAGGUUCUUAUGGCUAAGCUCACCGUGAAAGGGGUCUGAAAGUUUUCCAUCUUUUUCUGUGCUAAAAUGGUAUAUGUGAUGGGCAGAUUAUUUAAGACUUGCAAAGACUGGUAAAGUAGUUUUGACUUAGAAACGUUAUUAGAAUUAAUUAAUCUUUUUUUCCACUGACAAAGUCCUAUUCAAUUUACUAGUCUUAAUGAGUUGAUUUUAGCCAUUUCUAUUUUCCCAGAACAUUAGUGAAUUUUGAAAGUUUAACACAAUAUUAUAUUGUAUAAUUUAAGAGUAUCUCUCAUAUCUCUAGUUCUCUCAUUUCUCAUUUUAUGUAAUUUUGUCUUAAGUUAUUUAUCUUUUUAACUUUUUUUCUGGACUUGCCAGAAUAUGCUUGACUAUUACAUUUUUCUGUGUUUGCUUUCAUUACUCUUUGCUUUAAUUUUUGUUAUUUAUUUCCUUCUGCUUUCAAAAAAUAUUUUUACUUUCUAACUUCUUAAAUUUAAUUAAGCUUAAGUCUUUUACUUGUGUUAGUUCUGCUCUAAUAAAGCAAGUAUAGAAAUUUCCUAUCUCCUCUGACUAGUUUUAAAUCUAUUGUUUAGAUUUAAUAUGAAAUGUUCUAAUAUUCAAUUUUCUAACAUUCAUAUAAUUUGUAAACACAAUUUUUAUCUUUUCUUUGAUCCAAGUUACUUAUGUAUGUUUUCUAAUUUACAAAUAAAGUUUCCUUUCUUAAAA